rnacentral:rRNA from 1 species
UACGUAGGGGGCGAGCGUUAAUCGGAAUUACUGGGCGUAAAGCGUGCGCAGGCGGUGAUGUAAGACCGAUGUGAAAUCCCCGGGCUUAACCUGGGAACUGCAUUGGUGACUGCAUUGCUGGAGUAUGGCAGAGGGGGGUGGAAUUCCACGUGUAGCAGUGAAAUGCGUAGAGAUGUGGAGGAACACCGAUGGCGAAGGCAGCCCCCUGGGCCAAUACUGACGCUCAUGCACGAAAGCGUGGGGAGCAAACAGG